ACUGCCGGUGACAAACCGGAGGAAGGUGGGGAUGACGUCAAGUCCUCAUGGCCCUUAUGGGUAGGGCUUCACACGUCAUACAAUGGUCGGUACAGAGGGUUGCCAACCCGCGAGGGGGAGCUAAAUCCCACAAAGCCGAUCGUAGUCCGGAUCGCAGUCUGCAACUCGACUGCGUGAAGUCGGAAUCGCUAGUAAUCGUGGAUCAGCAUGUCACGGUGAAUACGUUCCCGGGUCUU
rnacentral:rRNA from 1 species